rnacentral:rRNA from 1 species
UACGGAGGAUGCAAGCGUUAUCCGGAUUCAUUGGGUUUAAAGGGUGCGCAGGCGGAUUAAUAAGUCAGUGGUGAAAUCCUACGGCUCAACUGUAGAACUGCCAUUGAUACUGUUAGUCUUGAGUAUUGUUGAGGUAGGCGGAAUGUGUCAUGUAGCGGUGAAAUGCUUAGAUAUGACACAGAACACCGAUCGCGAAGGCAGCUUACCAAGCAAUAACUGACGCUCAUGCACGAAAGCGUGGGGAUCAAACAGGAUUAGAUACCCUGGUAGUCCACGCUGUAAACGAUGAACACUCGAUGUUGGCGAUACACAGUCAGCGUCUGAGCGAAAGUAUUAAGUGUUCCACCUGGGGAGUACGGUCGCAAGAUUGAA